rnacentral:rRNA from 1 species
AUGAUGCAUGUAAUCGCAGAGUUCUAUGGAUCUGAGAUGAUGGUGCCGUUCGGACCAAAGACAAUAACAAAUCUUUGUACAAGUUUCCGUAGAGAUGACACAAUGGAGGGUGAUCUGAUUGAGACAAUUGCGCACUUCAAGGAUAUACAAAAAAUCGAUCCAGACUUCUUCUAUAAGGUGAAAUAUGAUGAAGAGGACAGAGUUGUCAACAUAUUUUGGGUGGAUGGCUUAGCUCGAAAAGCUUAUGCGGAGGCGUACCACGAUUGCAUAUCGUUUGACACCACCUACAUGACCAACAUGUACAAUAUGCCGUUCACGCCCUUCAUAGGAAUAAACCGACAUGGCCAAUCUUUCAUGCUGGGUUGCGUGUUUGUGAGGCAGGAGUUGGCAUCGAGCUUUGAUUGGGUCUUUCGAGCAUUCCUAGAGGCUAUGGAUGGCAAACCUCCUAACAACUUCAUCAUCGAUCAGGACGGUGCAAUGAGGCAGUCAAUACAGAGCAUCUUUCCAACCACCGUGCACCGCUGUUGUCGAUGGCACAUCAUGAAAAAGGCUCAGGAAAAGGUUGGUUGGCUGCUGUGCCGGAAUGCUGGACUCUCUGAUGAUUUCAACAAGUGUGUUGACUUCAGCUUCACUAUAGACGAGUGUGGGCUGGGUUAA